CCUACGGGAGGCAGCAGUAGGGAAUCUUCGGCAAUGGACGAAAGUCUGACCGAGCAACGCCGCGUGAGUGAAGAAGGUUUUCGGAUCGUAAAACUCUGUUGUUAGAGAAGAACAAGGAUGAGAGUAACUGUUCAUCCCUUGACGGUAUCUAACCAGAAAGCCACGGCUAACUACGUGCCAGCAGCCGCGGUAAUACGUAGGUGGCAAGCGUUGUCCGGAUUUAUUGGGCGUAAAGCGAGCGCAGGCGGUUUCUUAAGUCUGAUGUGAAAGCCCCCGGCUCAACCGGGGAGGGUCAUUGGAAACUGGGAGACUUGAGUGCAGAAGAGGAGAGUGGAAUUCCAUGUGUAGCGGUGAAAUGCGUAGAUAUAUGGAGGAACACCAGUGGCGAAGGCGGCUCUCUGGUCUGUAACUGACGCUGAGGCUCGAAAGCGUGGGGAGCAAACAGGAUUAGAUACCCCAGUAGUC
rnacentral:rRNA from 1 species